rnacentral:rRNA from 1 species
CCCUUAGAUGUUCUGGGCCGCACGCGUGCUACACUGAGUGGAUCAGCGGGUCAGGUUGCGCGAAAGUGUUUCCUAAUCUUUAAAUCCGCUCGUGAUGGGGAUUGACGGUUGCAAUUUUCCGUCAUGAACGAGGAAUGCCUAGUAGGCGCAAGUCAUCAGCUUGCGUCGAUUACGUCCCUGCCCUUUGUACACACCGCCCGUCGCUCCUACCGAUUGGGUGUGCUGGUGAAAUGUUCGGAUCGGCCGUUUGUCGCGGUUUCCGCGGCUCGUGGCUGAGAAGUUCAUUAAACCCUCCCACCUAGAGGAAGGAGAAGUCGUAACA